rnacentral:rRNA from 1 species
CCCUUAGAUGUUCUGGGCCGCACGCGCGCUACACUGUUCGACGCAGCGAGUCUUAACCUUGACCGAAAGGUUUGGGUAAUCUUCAGCAAAGUCGAACGUGAUGGGGAUCGAUCAUUGCAAUUAUUGAUCGUGAACGAGGAAUUCCUAGUAAGUGCAAGUCAUCAGCUUGCGCUGAUUACGUCCCUGCCCUUUGUACACACCGCCCGUCGCUACUACCGAUUGGAUGGUUUAGUGAGAUCUCUGGAUUGACGCUGGCUAGGGGGCGACCCUUGGCCAGACUGUUGAGAAACUGCUCAAACUUGAUCAUUUAGAGGAAGUAAAAGUCGUAACA